UGUGCAGGGGCUGGGGGCUUCAGUGUUGCAGGUGGUCCAGCGUAUGUGUGUGUGUGUCUGUGUGUGUGUCUGUCCAGGGGAUGGGGGCUCAAGUGUCGAAGGUGGUUCAGCGUGUGUGUGUUUGUGCACGCGUAUGGGUGUGUAAGGGCUGGGGGCUCAAGCAUUGGCGGUAGCUCAAUGUGUGUGCGUGUGUGUGUGCGUGUGUGUGUGCUCGUGUGUGUGUGUGUUCAGGGUCUGGGGGCUCAACUGUGAGAGGCGGCCCAGAAGCCGGUUAGAGACUGGGAAGGACGACAGAGGCAAGACACGCCCCGAGUGCUCUCGCGAGAGUUCAUCGAGUUGAUAAAGUUAUUAAAACACAAAAUACACAUUUGCAUCAGGGGGAAAAAAACAAAAACCCGCGUGUCCGUCCUGCCCCUCCAGGCUGCGCAACGCUGGAGGACGAUGGGAGCGCGAGACAGAUGGGACGAGCCUAGCAGUGGUGCUGCCUGAAGGUGAAGGAGGCCAGAAGCACCAGAAGCUGAAGGAGGCCAGGGUGGAUUCUCCCCUGGAGGCUUCAGUGGGAGCACAGGCUCUUGACACUUUGGUUCCAUCUCUUGUUUAAAGGCACCCAGUUUCUCAUCAUUUGUUACAGCAGCCUGGAAAACUCACACACAAGUGAAGCCCUGACCCACCCCCCAAGUGCCCAUCUGAGCACCCCUCGGGGACUCUGAGCAGGGGGUCGCCACCAGCAACUCCAUGUCUUGCAGCCCCUCUCCCCUUCAGUCUGGCUGCCACCUUCUUCAUUGCCCUGCAAAAAAAUAAUGGAGUUUCACCAUUUAAAGGGUUUCAGUGCAGCUUGCUAUGGGAACACUGGAGAGUAACACAAAUGGCCAAUUGUCCUAAUAGCUACCAUGGAUUGGAUGGAUGCUAACAACAGGCUCAGGGCUCUCCAUCUGUUGCCUCCUUUUAACCACAUGAGAAUCAAACAAGAUCUUCCAGGAAUCUAAAAAUGUGUGUGAGAUUUCACCUGUAAAAGCUGAGUUAUUCUGAAUCUGCAUUUUCCUAAAGAUUUAUCUUUGUGUGGUCAGCUUUCUUGGAAAAAUCCAGAAGCCGCCAUGAACUUACAACCCUUCAUGAAUAAAUGUAAUAUUUCAUUUGGA